rnacentral:rRNA from 1 species
UAUCCUACGGGGGGCAGCAGUGAGGAAUAUUGGUCAAUGAGCGGGAGCCUGAACCAGCCAAGUCGCGUGAGGGAAGACGGUCCUAUGGAUUGUAAACCUCUUUAGGCGGGGAGCAAUGCCGGGCACGCGUGCCCGGAGGGAGAGUACCCGCAGAAUAAGGAUCGGCUAACUCCGUGCCAGCAGCCGCGGUAAUACGGAGGAUUCAAGCGUUAUCCGGAUUUAUUGGGUUUAAAGGGUGCGUAGGCGGUUCGAUAAGUUAGAGGUGAAAUCCCGGGGCUCAACUCCGGCACUGCCUCUGAUACUGU